AUUGAACGCUGGCGGCAGGCCUAACACAUGCAAGUCGAGCGGCAGCGGAAAGUAGCUUGCUACUUUGCCGGCGAGCGGCGGACGGGUGAGUAAUGUCUGGGAAACUGCCUGAUGGAGGGGGAUAACUACUGGAGACGGUAGCUAAUACCGCAUAGCGUCGCAAGACCAAAGAGGGGGACCUUCGGGCCUCUUGCCAUCAGAUGUGCCCAGAUGGGAUUAGCUAGUAGGUGGGGUAACGGCUCACCUAGGCGACGAUCCCUAGCUGGUCUGAGAGGAUGACCAGACACACUGGACCUGAGACACGGUCCAGACUCCUACGGGAGGCAGCAGUGGGGAAUAUUGCACAAUGGGCGCAAGCCUGAUGCAGCCAUGCCGCGUGUAUGAAGAAGGCCUUCGGGUUGUAAAGUACUUUCAGCGGGGAGGAGGGUGUUGAGGUUAAUAACCUCAGCAAUUGACGUUACCCGCAGAAGAAGCACCGGCUAACUCCGUGCCAGCCGCCGCCGUAAUAC
rnacentral:rRNA from 1 species